GGAAAUGCCUCUUUAACCACUCUGCGUGAAGCAGAAUAUUCAGAAGUGAUAAAUAGUCAAACAAUCAUAAAUUCAGCCUUUCCAAGUGUUAGUUCUUUAUGUUUUCGACCCGUUUACGGUGAAUUUAAGGUAGAGAUAUGGAACUUCCUUCUACCGGUACAGAACUUCAUCAUUUAUCAAAUGUCACAACUGAGACUCCUUCGGAAGAUAAUAAUGACGAUUUUGAUAUGCUAAAGACAAUCUUACACCUUGGAGUCUUUGGAUUUAUCGUCGGUUUGUGUGUAUUAGCUAUUUGUUUUAGAAUCACUGUGAAUUAUCUGAAGAAACACUUCAACUGCUUGAAUUCAAGAACUGAUUCUAUUAAAAGAUUUAAACAGAGAUCAUGGAAGUUGGAACAAAUGGAGGAUAUUUAAAAAAAUUGUAUUUAGUGUUUUCUACAUUAUUGUAUUUUUGAUAGCGAGUCUGAAUUUAAUGUGAAAUAAAAGAACCUGUACAAUAAAAUUUUAGAAAAAA